rnacentral:rRNA from 1 species
GAAACGCGAUACUGGUGAAGUGAAACAUCUCAGUAACCAGAGGAGUAGAAAGAGAAUUCGAUUCCGUAAGUAGCGGCGAGCGAAAACGGAUCAGCCCAAACCCUGGCUUUUGUCAGGGGGUUGUAGGACUCCGAUGUGAGACCUUAGACGAUAGAUCAACGCUUUGGAAAGAGCGGCCAGAGAGGGUGACAGCCCCGUGAUUGAAAUCCGAUAAGGCUCUAGGAUGUUCCUGAGUAGCACACCACACGUGAAACGGUGUGUGAAACUGUGCGGACCACCGCAUAAGGCUAAAUACUCGUUAGUGACCGAUAGUGAACCAGUACUGUGAAGGAAAGGUGAAAAGAACCCCUGUGAGGGGAGUGAAAUAGAACCUGAAACCGUGUGCCUACAAGGUGUCAGAGUCCCAUUUGAGGGAUAAUGGCGUGCCUUUUGCUUAAUGAGUCUGCGAGUCAGUAUCUGUGGCAAGCUUAAGUUCUUCAGGAACGGAGGCGUAGCGAAAGCGAGUCCGAAUAGGGCGAAUAAGUUGCAGGUGCUGGACCCGAAGCGGAGGUGACCUACCUAUGGCCAGGUUGAAGCACGGGUGAUACCGUGUGGAGGACCGAACCGGUGAAUGUUGAAAAAUUCUCGGAUGAGCUGUGGGUAGGAGUGAAAGGCUAUUCAAACCCCGUGAUAGCUGGUUCUCCUCGAAAUGCAUUUAGGUGCAGCGUUGCGUGUUGAUGAGUGGGGGUAGAGCACUGAAAGGGCUCGGGGGCAUACCCGCCUACCACCCCCUAUCAAACUCCGAAUACCACUCAAUAGAGCGCAGCAGUGAGACAGUGGGGGAUAAGCUUCAUUGUCAAGAGGGAAACAGCCCAGACCACCAGCUAAGGCCCCUAAAUAAUUGCUAAGUGGCAAAGGAGGUGGGAAUGCAUAGACAACCAGGAGGUUUGCUUAGAAGCAGCAACCCUUUAAAAAAUGCGUAAUAGCUUACUCAUCGAGAGAUUCUGCGCCGAAAAUGAUUGGCGAUAAGCAUAGUACCGAAGCUCUGGAUGUUCCCGCGUGAUGCGGGAGCGUGGUAGAGGAGCAUUGUCACAGCAGAGAAGGUGGAUGGCGACUGAAACUGGAGCGGUGACAAGAGAGUAUGCAGACAUAAGUAACGAUAAGACGGGUGAAAUCCCCGUCCGCCGUAAACCCGAGGUUUCCUGGGCAAUGUUUUUCAUCCCAGGGUUAGCCGGGACCUAACCCGAGGCCGAUAGGCGUAGGGGAUGGUAAGUGGGUUAAUAUUCCCACGCUUCCGACCCUUAAACUGGGGGGACGCAUUUUGGUAAGUGACUAAGUUAUUGAAUUCUGAGGUGAGGCCUUUGGCCGAUCCGCAUCACUAGACAAAGUGCCAAGAAAAGCCCCAGUGUAUGCUAAGGAACCCGUACCGUAAACCGACACAGGUGGGUAGGUAGAGUAUACCAAGGCGCAAGAGUGAAACCUGGUUAAGGAACUCGGCAAAAUAGCUCCGUAACUUCGGGAUAAGGAGUGCCCCUUUUAUGGGGGCCGCAGUGAAAUGGCCCAACCGACUGUUUAGCAAAAACACAGCAUUCUGCUAAGGCGAAAGCCUACGUAUAGGAUGUGACACGUGACCAAUGCCAAAAGAUUAAGGUAAGAUGUUAGCCCUUUAGGGCGAAGCUUUGAACCCAAGUCCUGGUGAAUGUCGGCCGUAACUAUAACGGUCCUAAGGUAGCGAAAUUCCUUGUCGGGUAAGUUCCGACCUGCACGAAUCGUGCAACGAGUUGGGCGCUGUCUCAACCAGGUGCUCAGUGAAAUUGUAGUGGCGGUGAAGAUGCCGCCUACCCGCAGAAGGACGGAAAGACCCUAUAGACCUUAACUGUAAGCUAUCAUUGUUUCUUUGAUAUCAAUACUCAGCAUAAGUGGGAGACGUUGAAGUGCAUCUUUAGGGGUGCAUGGAGUCAUCAGUGAGAUACCACCUUUUGAUAUUGAAGAUCCUAACCCCAUGCCAUGAAGCUGGCUGGGGAACCGUGUUAGCCGGUCAGUUUUACUGGGGCGGUAUCCUCCUAAAGAGUAACGGAGGAGCGCGAAGGUGGGCUCAGCACGGACGGCAACCGUGUGUCGAGUGUAAUGGCACAAGCCCGCCUAACUGUGAGACCGACAAGUCGAGCAGAUACGAAAGUAGGCCAUAGUGAUCCGGCGGUAGAAUGUGGAAUUGCCGUCGCUCAACGGAUAAAAGGUACCUUAGGGAUAACAGGCUGAUCGCGCCCAAGAGUCCAUAUCGACGGCGCGGUUUGGCACCUCGAUGUCGGCUCGUCGCAUCCUGGGGCUGGAGAAGGUCCCAAGGGUCCGGCUGUUCGCCGGUUAAAGCGGCACGCGAGCUGGGUUCAGAACGUCGCGAGACAGUUCGGUCCUCUAUCCUCUGUGGGCGUAGGAAAGUUGCGGGGUUCAUUUCUUAGUACGAGAGGACCGGAAAUGACGCACCUCUGGUGUUCCAGUUGUUCUGUCAAGAGCACUGCUGGGUAGCUAAGUGCGGACUGGAUAAGCGCUGAAAGCAUCUAAGCGCCAAGCCAUUCCCAAGAUAAACUUUCCCUUAAGGAUCGUGGAAGACCACCACGUUGAUAGGCUGACGGUGGAAGUGUGGUAACACAUGUAGCUCAUCAGUACUAAUCAUUCGAUAGACUUGAUUC